rnacentral:tRNA from 1 species
UCCUCAAUAGCUCAGCGGUAGAGCGGUCGGCUGUUAACUGACUGGUCGUAGGUUCGAAUCCUACUUGGGGAGA